rnacentral:sRNA from 12 species
GCCAUGCUUGACUCGUCGCAUGACCGGAUUGAAAGGGGUUAGGUUACCUGGGGCAAACCGGAUGAUUAUCAACCGGGUGGCGAAGC